rnacentral:tRNA from 1 species
GGGGAUGUGGCUUAGUGGUAGAGCCUUUGCCUAGCACACAGAAGGCUCUGGGUUCCAUCCCUAGCACCUAUA